UUCUGUAAAGGCUUUAUUAAAUAUGGAUGAUGAUAUCUUAAUGGUCAAUACAGGUUCAUGGUACACAGUUGCCCACAUGUCAAUUUUAACAAAUAAUAAUACCUCAAAAGUAUUUGUGUGUGGAGUACAAUCACAAGCCAAGGAUCCUGACUUGAAGACCCUUUUCACAAAAAUAGGAUGUAAAAAUACAGAAUUCCUUAAAGAUCACUCUCAAGGAGGCAUCUCAGUGGACAAACUUCACGUUCUUGCUCAACAGCAGUAUGAACAGCUAACACAUGCAAUGAAAUUUACUAAAGCUCAAGCAGUUGUUUACUGCACAUGUUCAGUUUUUCCAGAAGAAAAUGAAGCUGUUGUUAAGAAAGCACUGGAAUUUCAAGACCUUGGGAAUAAAGGACAACCUUACAGGCUUAGUCCUCCUGUUCUUCCACUGUGCUCCUUAAAGGAAAUUCAAUUGUCUACUGAUAAAUUUUUCAGAAUGGAACCAUCUGAAAUUACCAAUGGUUGUUUUCUUUCUAUUUUAACAAGGGAGCGGGACCCUUCUGAGACAGUGUCUGUGAAUGAUGUUUUGGCCCGAGCUGCAGCCAAGGGUCUGCUGGAUGGGAUUGAGUUGGGUAAAUCAUCAAAACGGGAGAAGAAGAAGAAAAAAUCAAAAACAUCAUUGACAAAAGGUGCCACUACUGAUAAUGGCAUCCAAAUGAAAAUUGCUGAGUUCCUGAAUCGAGAAAC
rnacentral:sRNA from 1 species